rnacentral:rRNA from 1 species
AUUGAACGCUGGCGGCAGGCUUAACACAUGCAAGUCGAGCGGAGAUGAGGUGCUUGCACCUUAUCUUAGCGGCGGACGGGUGAGUAAUGCUUAGGAAUCUGCCUAUUAGUGGGGGACAACAUUCCGAAAGGAAUGCUAAUACCGCAUACGUCCUACGGGAGAAAGCAGGGGAUCUUCGGACCUUGCGCUAAUAGAUGAGCCUAAGUCGGAUUAGCUAGUUGGUGGGGUAAAGGCCUACCAAGGCGACGAUCUGUAGCGGGUCUGAGAGGAUGAUCCGCCACACUGGGACUGAGACACGGCCCAGACUCCGACGGGAGGCAGCAGUGGGGAAUAUUGGACAAUGGGGGGAACCCUGAUCCAGCCAUGCCGCGUGUGUGGAGAAGGCCUUAUGGUUGUAAAGCACUUUAAGCGAGGAGGAGGCUACUGAGACUAAUACUCUUGGAUAGUGGACGUUACUCGCAGAAUAAGCACCGGCUAACUCUGUGCCAGCCGCCGCGGUAA